UUGGUGAUAAACAUGCCUGGGUCACAAGGUUCAAAUCCCACUUGAGUGCCUGAGAAUCAAUGCUGAGUUUGCAGUACAAUACUGAGGGAGUGCUGCACUGUCAGGGGCUGAGAUAUUAAAUUGUAAUGCAUCUACCCUCAGUGGUGUGUGUUGGAGUUUUCUGUGAGCAAAUUUACUUUUUUUUAUUAAUCUAAGAGAUGUAGUAUCGCUGGUUGCACCAGCAUUUAUUGCCUGUCCCUAUUUGCCCCAGAGAAGAUGGUGAUGAACUGCCUCCUUAAAUGACUGCAGUCCAUUUGUACCAUAUGGAGAGUUCCUGGAUCACAUUCAACGAUACUGAAGGAAUGGCCAUGUACUUCCAAGUCAGAAUGCAAGAUCAUCAUGUGCAAUGAAAAUUGGAGUUUCACGACAUGACUCUGUGACUCAAUGACAAGGACAGUUUUGGCAAUUUUGACAACAAAGCAAAUGUAUCAGGUUCACUCCACAAACACCAAAACUACAGAACUGACAGAAAUUAAAGCAUGGGACUCAAUUCUCUUCCUUAUCAUGGCACUGUUAAUCCAAAUAUUAAUCUGGAAUAGAAGCAGGAAGAAAGUUAUAAGGGGGGGAGAGGUUUAUACUGAUCAAAGAUUUUUUACCACCAUUCAGGGUCUGUUUUUAAUACCUGAGAGAAAACAGGGGGGAAUGAGUGUAGCUGCACUGGAUUAUUUAUUAUUAAAUAAGCUGUUAAUGAAGUUUAGAAACCAACUAUCAAUCUGAUUUUGGGGAAAAAAAUUAACUGAGAAUUUGAUAUCCUUUAGGGAAAGAACAGAGACAUUGAAUCAAAUGGGCUUUUCCACAACAAACAGCAAUGGGUUCUCAGCUACUAUUAGACUUUUAGUUGGAUUUGAACGCAGUUCCCCAGAAUGUUACUCAGUCUCUGGGUUAAUAGUCCUGCUAUAACAUCACCUCCUCUUUCCUCAAAAGCUUUGGAGAAAAAGUCAAUCAUGAUCUUGAGGUCAGUUUCUGAAGGAGCAGCACACAUCGUCACAUUGGAGAUCAGGUUGGAGUGAUUGUGGUUAGGUUUGAAGGCAGUGCAAUGCAGCUAAUAUUUUCCUGCCUAGUUCUGUAAAUUCUCAUCAGGCCUCUGAGUAAUUUGUUGGAAAUGAGCCCCAGUAUAAUAGCCAGGAAGAAGGAUAAUUGUCUUGGUACGAUACCUCAGCAUCUUAGUUUCUUCACAAGAGAUAGGGACAAUGGUGGUGAGGAUCAUAACUUGCACGUGGGAGGAUGGUGGCAAAUUUCUGUGGUCAGCCAAACUAGAGGAUGAUAACCCAAAAUCAACGGAAGUUGACAGGUUUAAGAGGUAUUAGCCCUAAACUGACGCUCUCUUUAUGCAAGUUUUCGAUCUGAAGUAGACUGUAGACAGACAAUUGCAAACUGUAAACCGGUGAAGAUGAGGUUGAGAUAUGUUUGCUGGAACUAAUUGCCAAACAAGUGAACUACAUCUCCCAGAAGGCUGAGAGGGAGCUGCUGUAGAGCUCCACCGGCGGCGAUACAACGGUGCAACAAAGUAGCAACAAGAAGUUUCAACUGAGACAGGGCUGAGAAGCCGACUACACGGAGAAACACAACGCUUCGGCAGGAAAUCUUAUCUUACUGUGUCAGCACCGACUGCAGCUGUAAUCUAACCAACGCAGAGGAUGGAUUUUAAAAUCAUAAACAGUCAGCCUGAUGAAUACUGAGAGAUAUGUGCUGAGUCAUCACAACUCCCCUGUUCAAGAAGCACGAUGAUGCAUCCUAAAACAGCAUAUUGACAAACACAGGACAGGAAAUAGACUAUACUCUGACAUACCCAGACAUCGAAGGAAGGGAGACAUUUACUGAAAACAAAGAAUUUAUUUAAACUGCAGUAUCGUUUUAAGUCCAAGUGCUUCAUAAGUUUAUUGUAUCCAAGAAGGUAAAAAUACAAAAUUCCUGAGCCGCCAUUUUUUUGGGAUUUGAGUAAACAAAAACUUGCAUUUAUCCAGCACCUUUUAACGUCACCACAUAUUCUAACGUGCCUCUACAGGAACAUGAUCAAACACUAAUUGAAACUGAGGAACGUAAGCAGCUUUUUGGAUUGAUGCCCAAAAUCUUUGUCAAAGAUUAGCUUUUAAGUAGCAUCUUGAAUGAAGAAAGACUGGUGGAGAGGUUUACAAGAGAGAAUUCCUGAGCUUAGGGCCUAGGCAACUGAAGGAAUAAUGCCACUACUGGUAGAGCAAUGAAGUAAGAAAUAACUACUAUAGAAUUGGUUAGCAUUGAUCUUCAAAAAGGUAUCUUUGCAUUUUAAAUGUAAUUAAAAAUUAAAUGUUAUUCAAAUAUCAUUUAAAAUAUACAGUUAAAAAUCACACAAC